AUUGAACGCUGGCGGCAUGCCUUACACAUGCAAGUCGAACGGUAACAGGUCUUCGGAUGCUGACGAGUGGCGAACGGGUGAGUAAUACAUCGGAACGUGCCCGAGAGUGGGGGAUAACGAGGCGAAAGCUUUGCUAAUACCGCAUACGAUCUCAGGAUGAAAGCAGGGGACCGCAAGGCCUUGCGCUCACGGAGCGGCCGAUGGCAGAUUAGGUAGUUGGUGGGAUAAAAGCUUACCAAGCCGACGAUCUGUAGCUGGUCUGAGAGGACGACCAGCCACACUGGGACUGAGACACGGCCCAGACUCCUACGGGAGGCAGCAGUGGGGAAUUUUGGACAAUGGGCGCAAGCCUGAUCCAGCCAUGCCGCGUGCAGGAUGAAGGCCUUCGGGUUGUAAACUGCUUUUGUACGGAACGAAAAGACUCUGGUUAAUACCUGGGGUCCAUGACGGUACCGUAAGAAUAAGCCCCGGCUAACUUCGUGCCAGCCGCCGCCGCAACAC
rnacentral:rRNA from 1 species